AAUAGAUACCCGGGUAGUCCACGCCGUAAACGAUGAGUGCUAAGUGUUGGAGGGUUUCCGCCCUUCAGUGCUGCAGCUAACGCAUUAAGCACUCCGCCUGGGGAGUACGGUCGCAAGACUGAAACUCAAAGGAAUUGACGGGGGCCCGCACAAGCGGUGGAGCAUGUGGUUUAAUUCGAAGCAACGCGAAGAACCUUACCAGGUCUUGACAUCUCCUGACCGCCCUGGAGACAGGGUCUUCCCUUCGGGGACAGGAUGACAGGUGGUGCAUGGUUGUCGUCAGCUCGUGUCGUGAGAUGUUGGGUUAAGUCCCGCAACGAGCGCAACCCUUGGUUCUAGUUGCCAGCAUUCAGUUGGGCACUCUAGAGCGACUGCCGGCGACAAGUCGGAGGAAGGUGGGGAUGACGUCAAAUCAUCAUGCCCCUUAUGACCUGGGCUACACACGUGCUACAAUGGAUGGUACAAAGGGCAGCGAAGCGGCGACGCAUGAGCGAAUCCCAGAAAACCAUUCUCAGUUCGGAGUU
rnacentral:rRNA from 1 species